CCCGUGGACCCCGAGAUGACCGAGGCUGCACUUCCAAAGAGCUGAGCAGAAGGGGGAGGCCACUACACCUGCUGAGUCUCAUCGAACCCCACCCUAACCACUCUUCACCCCAUCCACCCUGAUCAUCGGGGACUCCCUAAUCAGGAAUAUACGCUUCUUCAACGCUGUCACUAGUUUUCCAGGAGCCACAGUGACAGACAUCCUUCAAAGACUCCCAGA